ACCCUAAUGUUUUCUCAUCAUCCGCCUCCAUUUCUAAACGUCGUCUUUUGCUUCCUUCGUCCGUCAACGUUUCUCUCAGAUCUCGCUGCGAUGUUUCCGAUCCUUACCGCUUCUAAUUCUCGUAGAGAUCCUCCCGAUCUGCAAAUCCGUGCGGUGUUAUGAGCGAGAUCUGAUGGUUAAUUCCAUGGUUGACGACGGAUCUGACUCAGAUCUGACUUUUUUCUAUUGAUCUGGAUUCGGAUCGUCCUUUACGGCUUCGUCAGAUGUGAGAUCUGUGAAUUGGUCACGUUGAGGCGUUGAGAUUUGGGAUACAAAGAGACUACUAAUCUGUUGUAGACGCUACGUAUUCCAGAUCGUGUGUGUGUUUGGAUUGAAGUGAGUUUAGGGUGUAUAAGAUGUGUUUGUGGAUAGGUAUGGUAUCCUUGAUAGCAUCUUUGUCAUCCGACCUUUGCCAUGUCAGGUGCGCUUGCAUGGCAGGUCAAAAACUGAUAGCUCAAUAAAUAAGUUAUUUUGUGGGUUUUGGAGAAGAGAUCGCACGGGUUAUUGUUUUUUUUUCCCGGGAUCUCUUCUCCUCUUGUGUGUCUUGCCUCUGCUCUCUCUCUCUCUCGUUCCAUCCCUCUUUUCAUUUACAUGCUCAUAGAAUCUAAAAAAAAAAUCGAUCAUAAGCAGACUGUUACUUAACUGGAGCCGUGGGCGAUACCAUGUCUUCUUGCCCAACACUACCGAGACAAAUCAGGUACUCAUAUAUUAAUUUGGUUCCUAAAUCAAUCAUUAUCAUCGCAAGUACUCAGUAUUUGAAAGAACAGAUCUUGACCUGAAUAUGUAGUCUGCAUAUAUUUACAUCAUCAUAGUUGACCGGAAUUACAAUAUCGUAAGUUAUCAUUGUCUAAUCGUUAAGUGUUAGUUUACAUGGUUACAAUUUUUGCUUUAUCUUGUGAUUUUAUUGAGCAAUAUUACCCUUCUGAAUGAUAUGGAACUAUGUUAUGAGGAAUCUUGAUUUAAGAGCUGUCGUGUAGUUUUGGUAUUAAUCCCCUUGUAUAAGUGUGUUAGAUGUCAAAGCGUUGUAGAAUAUUAGUAUUUGCCCAAGAUUGUGUGUAUCUGUAACCACCCACUCCCUGUAGAAGUAUGAAGAAUGUGCAUGAUGAAAUUGGACUUCUGUGCAUCAAGCAAUCUCGAAGGCUACCCUGUCUAAUGUUAAAUUGUGUUUGAAGGUAUAUUUUAUGGUUUUGCACGGAGCUAAAUUUUUUUGAUGUUCCUUGUACUAAUCAGCUACUCUAUUCACAAUCUAAGAAUGUGUGACGUUUAAAGUUCCAUCUAUUAAGAUUAUAUUCAUUUU